rnacentral:rRNA from 1 species
AUUGAACGCUGGCGGAAGGCCUAACACAUGCAAGUCGAGCGAGCGGCGGACGGGUGAGUAAUGUAUGGGGAUCCGCCCGAUAGAGGGGGAUAACUACUGGAAACGGUAGCUAAUACCGCAAAUUAUAGGAGGACACCAUAUGGGAUUAGCGAGUAGGUGAGGUAAAGGCUCCCCAAGGCAACGAUCCGUAGCUGGUUUGAGAGGACGACCAGCCACACUGGGACUGAGACCCGGCCCAGACUCCUACGGGAGGCCGCAGUGGGGAAUUUUGGACAAUGGGGGAAACCCUGAUCCAGCCAUCCCGCGUGUAUUAGAAGGCCUUCGGGUUGUAAAGUACUUUUGGCAGAGAAGCGGUAUCUGCAGAAUAAGCACCGGCUAACUACGUGCCAGCAGCCGCGGUAAUAC